rnacentral:misc_RNA from 1 species
GAUGAAGAACGUAGCGAAAUGCGAUACGUAGUGUGAAUUGCAGAAUUCAGUGAAUCAUCGAAUCUUUGAACGCACAUUGCACCUCUCGGUAUUCCGGGAGGUAUGCCUGUUCGAGCGUCAUUUGUACCCUCAAGCUCUGCUUGGUGUUGGGUGUUUGUUCCGCCUCUGUGUGUGAACUCGCCUCAAAACAAUUGGCAGCCGGCGUACUUGUUCCGGAGCGCAGCACAUUUUGCGAUCCAGAUCAACGUACAGCGGCAUCCAAGAAGCCUUAUUUAACGCUCUUGACCUCGGAUCAGGUAGGGAUACCCGCUGAACUUAAGCAUAUCAAUAAGCGGAGGA